AGUGAACGCUGGCGGCGUGCCUAAUACAUGCAAGUCGAACGGAGUGGCGCACGGGGGGGUAAUGUAUAGCUAAUCACCCCUACACUAGAGGACAACAGUUGGGAAAGGCUGCCAAUACUCUAUAGUGUAGGAUGAGGCUAUAUUGUCUCAGUUAGUUGGUGAGGUACUGGCUCACCAAGGCUAUGACGCAUAACUGGCGUGAGAGGAUGAUCAGUGACAUUGGAACUGAGACACGGUCAAGACUCCUACGGGAAUGAGCAGUAGGGAAUAUUACUCAAGGGGGGAGACUCAGAAGCAGCAACGCCGCGUAGAGGAUGACACUUGGCGGAGCAUAAAGUCCUUUUGUUAGGGAAGCGGUACCUAACGAAUAAGCACCGGCUAACUCCGUGCCAGCCGCCGCGGUAAUUC
rnacentral:rRNA from 1 species